GGGGCGGGCGCCAAAGAUUCUGAGAAGCCGGGAAAUCACGGGGCCCGAGGCCCCCACUGACGCCUGUCAGCCUCCAGGGCCUCGGGGUCCCCAGGGCGCCGCCGCCCCUGCCCUGUCCCGCCGGGCGCCUCUCGCUCCCCGCACCGCAGCCACCGCGCCUCGCAGCUCCCCGCUCCGCGUAGCGCGGCGCCAGGCGACGUCGGACCGACGAGAGGACAGGCUGUCGCGGCUGCUCUCGCGAGAAGACUCUCGCGGGCGCCGUGCCAGCGGCCUUUCCCUGGCGUUGGGCGGAGCCGCAGGGCGGAAGGCGGAAAACCCCCGGCCGGCCGAUGGCCACGUGACCGAGCCUCGCGGCGUGGAUUGGUCGGCAGCUCCCUGGCCCCGCCCCGAGGGCGGGCCUUCGCUCCCAGGAGGCAGUGCCCCUGCAGGCGGAGAGGUGUCCUCGCGCGCCCUGGGCUGGGGUCCCGGUGGGCCUCGGAGGUGCCGGGUCUCGGGCCGCCGGACGCUUUGUGUUGAGCCCCGGGGCCUGCGGGAUCCUGUUCCGCAGAGCAGCUCUCCGAGGGGAGCCUUCCAGAGAAAGGCUCUGGGAAGCCAGCCUGCCACGCGGGCUCCCAUCCUCGCUGGCCCACUGGUGUCGCGUGAGGCCGGUCCUCCCAGCGGAGGCCGUCUCCUCCUCCCCGCAGGAUCCGAAGUUCCGCCCUGGGGAGCACCGAUCGGCCCUGCGGACCCCUCCCCGCUCCCGGCUCCGCCUCCGGGUUCCCCCGAGCCUCUAGGCAGCAAGCCCAGCAGAAGCUUCGGGGUGGAAAGUGCAUGAAUGAAGGUCUUGGAACCACGUUUAGCAUGGACUCCAGUGUAAAUCCCAGCGCCCGCCUCUCCCAGUCAUUCAGCCUUUCAACCCCUCAGGUUUGUCAUCUGUAAAAUGGAAGUGUAACAGUGCCCACCUCGAGGGACUGUAGUGAGGACUAGUGAGUUAAUCUUUGUAAAGUGCCCAGAAGCUGCUACACAGUAACUGCUGUUAUUAGCCUCACCUAAACCACACAGCCUAGCUUCCUAUGUGUCACUAUUGGUAAACCCAUUUCCAUGUCUUCAUGCCAGGAAGCAAGACCACACCUUCCCGUUCUCAGGUAUCUUUGCAAACCAUUCCUGCAGCCAGGGGCUCUUGUCAUGGAUGUCAGUCGGAC
rnacentral:lncRNA from 1 species